UAGGGAAUCUUCCACAAUGGACGCAAGUCUGAUGGAGCAACGCCGCGUGAGUGAAGAAGGUCUUCGGAUCGUAAAACUCUGUUGUUAGAGAAGAACACGAGUGAGAGUAACUGUUCAUUCGAUGACGGUAUCUAACCAGCAAGUCACGGCUAACUACGUGUCAG
rnacentral:rRNA from 1 species